rnacentral:rRNA from 1 species
CGAAAGCCUGACGGAGCAAGACCGCGUGAGGGAGGAAGGCUCUAGGGUUGUAAACCUCUUUUAUCAGGGAAGAAGCUCUGACGGUACCUGAGGAAUCAGCAUCGGCUAACUCCGUGCCAGCAGCCGCGGUAAUACGGAGGAUGCAAGCGUUAUCCGGAAUCAUUGGGCGUAAAGCGUCCGCAGGUGGGAGUUCAAGUCGAUUGUCAAAGGCAGUAGCCUAACUACUGAAAGGCAGUGGAAACUGAACAACUAGAGUGCGGUAGGGGUAGAGGGAAUUCCCGGUGUAGCGGUGAAAUGCGUAGAGAUCGGGAAGAACACCAGUGGCGAAAGCGCUCUGCUGGACCGGCACUGACACUGAGGGACGAAAGCUAGGGGAGCG